rnacentral:lncRNA from 1 species
CAAAGGGUAACUUGACUUUAUUAUAGAUCGGUGGAGCGUGUGUGGUUAACCGGCACAUCGAUUAGGUAAUAUUGUUAAGGGUACCAAGUCAAUUUGUAUGGUUAUUCACACCUUGUUUGUGAUCCUCGGCAUCCCAGUCACAAACUUGAGAGGGCACAUUCGAGAUUCAAACAUGCCAUUGAAAAGUUCAAUGUAUCUCAAAAGAUCUAGGAGUUUCAAAACCAAUAAAACCUAAUAAUAAAAUAUUUCGUCUUAUGGUGGAAAUUGGUAAAUCGUCAUUUACCUACCUUCAAAUAUUUUAUAGUGUGGAUUACGGCAUCCCUCUUCCACCUAUAAAUAGUUUGUUGGAUCCUAGCCUUAAUAUUUCAUUUGGGUGACUUAUUAAGGACUCUUAAUCUAAUGAAACUUAUCUUCCUUUUAUUCCAGAUGUCUUCCAAUAACGCUGCUGGCUCAAACCCUACAGGCUCCUUUUCCCUAAUGAACUUGUGUGGUAAGGUCAUCUUUGAUGGAUCCAACUUUAAUGAGUGGAUCAGAAACAUCAGGAUGAUUACCCGCUAUGAGGACAAAGAAUAUGUCCUUGAUAGGGAGCUUAAGGUUGUUAAUGAAGCCACUGCUACUCCAGAAGAGCUUGCGGAGUUCAUUGCGCAUGAGAAGGAUGCCACCAAGGUGUCCUGCAUCAUGAUGGCCACAAUGACUCCGGAACUCCAAAAAUCUUAUGAAGAUUUCUACCCCUAUGAGAUGCACCUAGAUCUGAUGGAAAGGUACCAUCAGAGCGCGCGUCAAGAGAGGUAUGAAAUCAUUUCCUCCAUGAUAACCGCAAGGAUGAAGGAUGGUGAACCCAUCACCGGUCACUUGCAGAAGAUGCAGAGGUUCGUUGACCGGUUGCUAAAGCUCAAUGUUGACUUCCCUGAGGAAUUGGCGAUUGACAUCAUUCUCCAUUCCUUACCUCCAAGUUAUGAUCAGUUUCGUAUGACUUAUCAUAUGAACAAGGAGGAAGUCACACUUAGCAAACUUCAAGGACUCUUAAGGACAGCUGAAAAUGGCCUUAAGGGUAAAGCGGUUGCUACUUCUACUCCUUUAACAGCCCCUGUUCUUGCAAUUGGGCAAGGGAAGGGUAAGAAGAGGAAAAGCCCUUCAAAGGGUACCAAGGGUAAGACUCUUGAUGGUUCCUCUUCAAGUGGGACAAAGAAAGGUCCCAUUACUCCUUCUUCGAACCCAAAGGAAGCACAGUGCUUCUAUUGCCAAGAUAAGGGACACUUCAAGCGAAGCUGCGCCAAAUAUCUGCAAGAUGUAAAGGAUGGGAAGGUUAAACCCACCCAUGCAGGUAUUUACACAAUAUUGUCUAACAACUCAUCUAAUGCUAAUUCUUGGGUGCUUGAUACAGGGUGUGGUAUUCACAUUUGUACUGAUUUGCAGGCACUAAGAAGAAGUGAGCAAGUGGAGCACGGGAAGAUAAACUUAGUCAUGGGCAACAGGAAAGCAUCACCUGUUACCAAGAUAGGAGUUUAUUCUUUAUUGCUUAAUAAUGGGUUAAUGUUAGAUUUGAAUAAGUGUUGUUACUCGCCCGAAAUGGCGAGAAAUAUUAUUUCUUUUCAUGGCUUGUACAAACAAGGUUUUACAUUUUCAUUUGAUAAUAAAAAUGGUGCUAUUAAUGUUUAUUACAAUGAUGUAUUUUACUUUAAAGCAAUACCUUGUGAUGGUGUAUAUGAAGCCGUGAAUGUUGUAGACAAUCUAGGAAAUAAUGUGUUGUAUAUUGAUUCUUCUGAUAGCUUGGAUAAAGCAUCCUUGUGGCAUUGUCGUCUUGGACAUGUUAGCAAGAAGCGCAUAGGCCAACUCCAAAAGGCUGGAGUCUUGGAAUCAUUUGACCUCAAGUCAGAUGAUAGUUGCGAGUCUUGUUUACUUGGAAAAAUGACAAAGUCGCCCUUCACAGGUACUUGUGAUAGGGGUGAAGGUUUGUUGGACCUUGUACACACGGAUGUGUGUGGGCCCUUCAGAGUUGCUACAAGGGAUGCUAAUCGUUAUUAUGUGACUUUUACUGAUGAUUACAGUAGAUAUGGAUAUAUUUACUUAAUCAAGCAUAAGUCAGAAACCUUUGAAAAGUUCAAAGAGUUUAAGCAGGAAGUUGAGAAUCAAUUGGGCAGGAACAUCAAGAUGCUCCGAUCCGAUCGGGGAGGAGAGUAUCUUAGCAUUGAGUUCCUUGACUAUCUUAAGGAAUGUGGGAUUGUCUCACAAUUGACACCUCCCAGGACACCACAGUUGAAUGGUGUAGCUGAGAGGCGCAAUCGAACCUUGUUGGAUAUGGUUCGUUCCAUGAUGAGUCGAGCUUCGUUACCAAUCUCUUUCUGGGGGUAUGCCUUAGAGACUGCCGCCCAUAUCCUUAAUCUAGUCCCUACUAAAAAGGUUGCCAAAACACCUCACGAGAUGUGGACUGGGAAAGUGCCCAAUUUGGACCACAUCAAGAUUUGGGGUUGUGAAGCUUUUGUGAGGCGUGAGACUCAUGACAAGCUUGAGCCCCGAAGCGAGAGGUGUAUUUUCAUCGGCUACCCACAGAGAUCCUUUGGUUACCUCUUCUACAGACCCAGUGACAAUGUGGUCUUUGUAGCAAGAAGAGGAGUCUUUCGUGAGAGAGAAUUCAUAAGCCAAGGGGACAGUGGGAGGCAAAUUGACCUUGAAGAGCUUCAAGAGUCAAGUGGUGAAGGAACCUCAAAUGCUGUCAGCCAACCUGAGGAGGAAACUCCUGUUGAGCCGAUAGAUGAGUCUGUACCUCCAAGACGUUCCACUAGGGUGAGGAACACACCUGAAUUUUAUUAUGGUUAUCACAUCACCACUGAAGGUGAUACAUUUAUCAGUGAUAGUACACUGAUAGAUUUGGAUGAACCUAAUAAUUAUAAGGAAGCCAUGGCAGGCCCUGAGUCUGCGAAAUGGAAGGAGGCUAUGGACAGCGAGAUUCAGUCCAUGUAUGACAAUCAAGUUUGGAACUUGGUUGACAAUGUACCAGGUCGUAAGACAGUUGGGUGCAAAUGGAUCUUCAAGAAGAAGACCGACAUGGAUGGGAAAGUACACACUUAUAAAGCGCGACUGGUUGCGAAGGGCUUUACUCAAACUCCGGGAGUUGACUAUGAUGAGACCUUCUCACCAGUAGCUAAGAUUAAGUCUAUUAGAGUGUUGUUAGCCAUAGCUGCAUUUCAUGACUAUGAAAUAUGGCAAAUGGAUGUCAAAACCGCUUUCCUUAAUGGGAAGUUGGCUGAGGAUGUUUACAUGGCUCAGCCAGAGGGUUUUGUCGAUCCAAAAUACCCUAAUAGAGUGUGUAAGCUUGAAAAAUCCAUUUAUGGAUUGAAACAAGCAUCUCGCAGGUGGAAUCUUUGCUUUGAUGAGAAAGUCAAAGAGUUUGGCUUUUCUAGGAGUGAGGAUGAGUCUUGUGUGUAUGUCAGGGCUAGUGGGAGCAUAGUUAGCUUCUUGGUGUUGUAUGUGGAUGACAUACUUCUCAUAGGAAACGACAUCCCAACUUUGCAGGAGGUUAAGGCCUGGCUUGGGAAGUGUUUUGCUAUGAAGGACCUUGGGGAAGCUGCCUAUAUCCUAGGGAUAAGGAUAUUGAGAGAUAGGAGUAAGAGACUAAUUGGACUUAGUCAAAGUACUUAUGUGGAUAAGGUACUGAAGAGGUUCAGUAUGCAAGAUUCCAAGAAAGGAGAAUUACCAAUCCAGAGUAAUGCCAAGCUAAGUAAGACUCAGAGUCCGAGUACAGAGGCUGAGAUAGCUGAAAUGAGUCAGAUACCAUAUGCUUCCGCUGUGGGCUCGAUCAUGUAUGCUAUGACUUGUACUCGCCCUGAUGUGGCCUUUGCUUUGAGCAUGGUCAGUAGAUAUCAAGGGAACCCUGGCAAGGCACACUGGACAGCGGUAAAGAACAUUCUCAAGUAUUUACGGAGGACUAAGGACUGGGUCCUUACCCUCGGAGGCAGUGAUGACUUGAGAGUGGAAGGAUAUAGUGAUGCUAGCUUUCAAACUGAUAGGGAUAAUUUCCACUCUCAGUCAGGCUGGGUCUUUAUCCUAAAUGGAGGAGCAAUUACUUGGAAAAGCUCCAAGCAGGAGACAAUAGCUUAUUUAACUUGUGAAUCAGAGUACAUAGCAGCAAGCGAGGCAGCAAAAGAGGCGAUAUGGCUAAAGAACUUCAUCGGAGACCUUGGAGUUGUACCAGCUAUAAAGGAGCCAACGGAAAUUUUCUGUGAUAGCGAAAGUGCGGUUGCCUUGGCUAAAGAACCAAGAGAUCACGGGAGAUCUAGGCACAUUGACAGAAAAUACCAUUUCAUCAGACAUAGAAUAGAAGAAGGACUCCUCGUGGCAAAAAGGGUAUCAUCAGAUGAGAACCCGACAUAUCCCCUCACGAAGGGACUGAGCAGGGUUAAGCAUUUACAACAUGCGAGGCGCAUUGGGCUGAAGGAUGAUAUUAGUUUUAGUGAUUAGAUAGCUCUCGAAACUUGUAAUAGUUGAAAUGUAAUUGACAUUUUAUUCUUAAAUUAAAGGUUCUUUUUAUUUACUAGUAUGGUACUGUCUUGUUUCAAUCAUUUACUAUUGUUUCAUUUUGCAUGUUUUGACUUCCAGAAUGAUUAUGUUAUGGUAUAUCAUAUUAUUCAAACUAUCCACAGUUGAUCAUAUGUUGGAAGUAGGUAUUGAAUCAAGACUAUCAUGAAUUUGGUUCGUAGAUUUGUCUGAAUGGUAUUAGACAUAGCAACUUUGAUGCAACAUUCUUGAGUGCUCAUAAGGUCUGAGUAUUGCAUUCGACACACGCUCACUUGUAUCACUUCAUCGAAUUUAUCUUGAGUGAUCGUGAGACGGUAAUAUGAUAUAAGUCUUCAAACCUAGAUAUAUAUAUUGUUGACUAUGAUUUGGUAGUACAUUGAUACUGCGAAAACGCAUCGGUAACUCAAUGUUAUAAAACAUGUUAUUGUGUAUGAUUCAAUGAAUAGUUAGUACAAGCAUAUAUUGUCGAAGUUUAUCUGUUCCUUUUAGUCCUUGGAGGAUUAAAAGCGAUAUCUUGGGCCCCUCGGUGAUUUUGUUUUGACUUAUGUGCCGAGCCCGGUCAAAACUAAAUUGAUGUGUUCGAUUAAGUUCUAUUUCAAACAAAUCGGAAAUCGGGAAACAAAUUGCUAGACAAUAAGUAUGACUUUGUUCCAUGUAUUUGUCCGGCUGAUAUCUUGAACAAAGGAUUAUAUGAUCACUUAUCUAAAUGAAGUGUCUUGUUUCGACAUAGGCUUUUAAGAGCUACGAUUGUUAGUCGGUGUUUUAAGUCGUACUUGCAGUUAUAGUUAUUAGACUUAUCCAAGUGGAAGACUGUUGGAUUUAGUGUCUAAGCCCAUAACUAUAACUGGUAUGUACUUGACCCGAGAGUAGAAUGGUUAAUUUAGGUUGCAUACCACCGGAACAAUUUGUAGGAUGGACCUUAUAGAAGAGGAUAUUUGCGAUUUAUUAAUAUAUUAUAAGUUCUAAUAUAUUAAUAUGAAAUCAUAUUAUUUAAUUAGUAUUGAUCAAGAAUUAGUUUGGAAUUAAUUUUGUGAUCAAAAGAGACUAAUUAAAUAAACGGGGAUUGAUUUGGUAAAUCAUUCAUUCUUAUAAAGUGGGCUUAAGAUCCAUAGUUCUUCAUGUUGGGCUAAACCCAUGUGGUNNNNNNNNNNNNNNNNNNNNNNNNNNNNNNNNNNNNNNNNNNNNNNNNNNNNNNNNNNNNNNNNNNNNNNNNNNNNNNNNNNNNNNNNNNNNNNNNNNNNNNNNNNNNNNNNNNNNNNNNNNNNNNNNNNNNNNNNNNNNNNNNNNNNNNNNNNNNNNNNNNNNNNNNNNNNNNNNNNNNNNNNNNNNNNNNNNNNNNNNNNNNNNNNNNNNNNNNNNNNNNNNNNNNNNNNNNNNNNNNNNNNNNNNNNNNNNNNNNNNNNNNNNNNNNNNNNNNNNNNNAGGGUUGAUUAUGACAAUCAUCAAUUCUUUUAUGGUGGAUUAAUGAUCCAUGGUUUAUGGGUUAUGGAUGUAACCAUUUGGAGCUCCAUGGAUAGUCCAUGGGAGUUACAAACCCAUGGGUCAUGAGAAAUGAAGAGUCAUGACAAUUAUGGGUCUUCAUGAUGAAACCCUAAUUGUGACACCACUAUAAAAGGGACCCUUUGGUUAGCAAAAUCGUCACCUAGUGUUACUAGAGAGGGCAUAACCGAUUUUGAGUGCUAGAAGUAUUCUCUCAAGUUAUUCCAAGUUUUGUGGUGUUGUGUGAAGCAUUUGAGGCACAACAUUUGGGGUGCUAGGCUCACAAAGUCUUGAAGGAAUCCAAGCAACAACAAGGUAUGUAUUUCUACUAGUUUUUAUGUUUUAUAUAUUCCCCAUGCCAUGCUAGUUAGGAAAUAACCUUGAAAAAGAAAUUUGCAUGUAUAUAGAGAAAACAUAGAUUCAAGGUUAUUAGGGUUGCAUGUACACUUAGGAAGUGUUAGAAUGCUCAAAACCCAUCAGUGGUAUCAGAGCCUAGGAUUGUUUUCUGUAUACUUGAUGCAAAACUGCUUGAAAAUCGAAAAUUCUGCUCACUGUCGACUGGACUCGCCGAGUUCAUGGGGAGGACUCGCCGAGUCCAUGUACAAAUUCAUCCUACUCGUCGAGUAGGAUCAUGCACUCGACGAGUAGGUGCGUGCUGGGCAGUUUUUUCGUGUUUUGUUGCUGGAAAUGGAUUAAAAUCAUUAUCCCAAUCUGUUUUGGACUUGUAAAAUCUGUUUUUCAAAGUGAUAAUGAUUAUGUUAACCCAUUUUGCAUGACUUUUAUCAAUUUUCAAGUAUUAUAUAUGUUUAUAUGAUUUCUUGAAAUUGCUUGACAUGAAUUUGUGUUCUUAUGAGUUUUUAGAAGAUCAUAGGAAUUAUGUGUAACCUCCAUGUGUGUUUAAUUCAUGAUCUUAAUUGCAAUGAUGGUGUCCAUAACUUGUCCUCAAGUUAUGGAUAACCAAAAGUCACUUCUUUAAAUUGUGAUUAAAGAACUAAAGAGGUUUCAUAAAAUGAAGAGUCUUCAUUUUUAUGAACCAUUAAAACUCAUAAGUUACAAAUUGAAGAGACUUGGAAUAGUUUCAAUUCUUGCCCUCAAGUUUUGGAAUUUGAAAAGUCUUACACUCUAAUACUUUAAUUCCAAAUUAAACCUUAGAUUUUUAAAAAGUUUAAAAAUCAACACUUAUACUAUUAUUAUAAUUUUAUUAUAUAGAUAUGUAUAAGAAUAUGUCAUUCUUACCGUUAGUAGGCCUCAUUCACGAAGCCGGUCUAAAAGGGGGUAUAAGGUUGUUGCCUAUAAAAUGGUGACUUAAUGGGUGUCCACUCUCACCCACCGCUUCCUUGAUCGGUGGAGGGUCGUUAGCCGAACGGGUAGGAUACGACUUUAAAUUCUCAUUAAAAGUAUAAUGAAUUAUAAAGUAACUAUACAUUAUAAAUUCCCAAUCUUAGUUACUUUAGGAAAACGUGAAAUUGGUGCUAGCCCAUAAAAUUACACUUUGUACCUUACCAAGUCGUUAGUGGAGCGUGUGUGGUUAACCGGCACACUAACAUGGACUAGUAAGAGUGGCAAAGGGUAACUUGACUUUAUUAUAGAUCGGUGGAGCGUGUGUGGUUAACCGGCACAUCGAUUAGGUAAUAUUGUUAAGGGUACCAAGUCAAUUUGUAUGGUUAUUCACACCUUGUUUGUGAUCCUCGGCAUCCCAAUCACAAACUUGAGAGGGCACAAUCGAGAUUCAAACAUGCCAUUGAAAAGUUCAAUGUAUCUCAAAAGAUCUAGGAGUUUCAAAAACCAAUAAAACCUAAUAAUAAAAUAUUUCGUUCUUAUGGUGGAAAUUGGUAAAUCGUCAUUUACCUACCUUCAAAUAUUUUAUAGUGUGGAUUACGGCAUCCAUCUUCCACCUAUAAAUAGUUUGUUGGAUCCUAGCCUUAAUAUUUCAUUUGGUUGACUUAUUAAGGAUUCUUGAUGGUUAAGACUCUUCGAAGGGUUCCUCUUCAAG